rnacentral:tRNA from 1 species
GGCUCCACAGAGUAAUGGUUAGCAUGUCUGUUUUACACGCAGAAGGUCCUAGGUUCGAGCUCCAGCGGAGCCA